rnacentral:rRNA from 1 species
UAGUCAUAUGCUUGUCUCAAAGAUUAAGCCAUGCAUGUCCUAGUAUAAGCUCUUGAACGGCGAAACUGCGAAUGGCUCAUUAAAACAGUUAUAGUUUAUUUGAUGAUCAUUUACUACGUGGAUAACUGUAGUAAUUCUAGAGCUAAUACAUGCGCAAAAGCCCGACUUUACGGAAGGGCCGUGUUUAUUAGAUACAGAGCCAACCUAGGCCCCGCCUAGAGUUUAUGGUGAUUCAUAAUAACCAAUCGAACCGCUCACGCGGUAUAUCAUUCAAGUUUCUGACCUAUCAGCUUUCGACGGUAGGGUAUUGGCCUACCGUGGCUAUGACGGGUAACGGAGAAUUAGGGUUCGAUUCCGGAGAGGGAGCCUGAGAAACGGCUACCACAUCUAAGGAAGGCAGCAGGCGCGCAAAUCACCCAAUCCUGACAAAGGGAGGUAGUGACAAGAAAUAACAUUUCUGGGCAUUAUUGUCUAGAAAUUUGGAAUGAGUGGACUUUAAAUCACUCCACGAGUAUCAAUU